rnacentral:sRNA from 1 species
CUCUUCACCCGGCUCAGGAAUGUGGUGGGUGGCCCCACCCUGCCAGGGUGCGCUGUUCUUACUUGCAGGAGUCUGCCCCCCAACCAGGUGCCCAGCCCUUGGGUCUGUUCUGAGACCUGCUGGAGUGGCCUCUAACCUGGGCCUGGUAUUUGGGCCACAGGGGCACUAGGCCAGGUGUGGCUUGGUGGGGGGACAAUAAACCUGCUGGAGCAGGAAGAGGAGGAAGGACACAGGGCCAAAACCAGGGGGACUGAGCCCACAGCCCUCAGAGUCCUGUUCUGAAGACCAUCCUUACUCUGCUUCACUCAAGAAGAACCUUCCCACUGCCUCCUGGGGAACUAGGGACUCGUUUGUGAACAGCCAGGAGUGGACGCUGAGCCGCUCCGUACCGGAGCUUAAAGUGGGCAUAGUGGGGAACCUGUCUAGCGGGAAGUCAGCCCUGGUGCACCGCUAUCUGACGGGGACCUAUGUCCAGGAGGAGUCCCCUGAAGGGGGGCGGUUUAAGAAGGAGAUUGUGGUGGAUGGCCAGAGUUACCUGCUGCUGAUCCGAGAUGAAGGAGGCCCCCCUGAGCUCCAGUUUGCUGCCUGGGUGGAUGCAGUGGUGUUUGUGUUCAGCCUGGAGGA